CCAGACUCCUACGGGAGGCAGCAGUGGGGAAUAUUGCACAAUGGGGGGAACCCUGAUGCAGCAAGGCCGCGUGGGUGAAGAAGCACUCCGGUGCGUAAAGCCCUGUCAGCAGGGAAGAAAAUGACAGUACCUGGACAAGAAGCCCCGGCUAACUACGUGCCAGCAGCCGCGGUAAUACGGAAGGUCCGGGCGUUAUCCGGAUUUAUUGGGUUUAAAGGGAGCGUAGGCCGGUCUUUAAGCGUGCCGUGAAAUUUUGUGGCUCAACCAUGGGAGUGCGGCGCGAACUGGAGACCUUGAGUGCGCGGAAGGCAGGCGGAAUUCGUGGUGUAGCGGUGAAAUGCUUAGAU
rnacentral:rRNA from 1 species